rnacentral:rRNA from 1 species
GAGCGAACGCGGAUGGGGCUAAACCGUAUGUGUGUGAUACCCGGCAGGGGUUGCAUGUGCGGUGUUGUGGGCCCCUCCUUGUCAUGUCUGCCGGCAUGGCGCAGUGAGGUGCGGGCAUAUAGACGAACAGUGUGGAUGCUGGACCGUAGAGGGUGAGAGUCCCGUAGUCGAAAUGUGUUCCGCCGCUGUUGGAGGGUUGCCCGAGUAGCACGGGGCCCGAGGAAUCCCGUGUGAAUCUGCCAGGACCACCUGGUAAGCCUGAAUACUACCUGUUGACCGAUAGCGGAUCAGUACCGUGAGGGAAUGGUGAAAAGUACCCCGGGAGGGGAGCGAACGCGGAUGGGGCUAAACCGUAUGUGUGUGAUACCCGGCAGGGGUUGCAUGUGCGGUGUUGUGGGCCCCUCCUUGUCAUGUCUGCCGGCAUGG